UUCGGCUCUGUCCAUCUGGCUCUGGCAGAACCUAUUCAGAUAAGCAUCGUUAAUAACACUAGUAAUAGACAAAUGUACCUCAUCCGGAAUGGGAACAUUUGCCCUUCGGCAAAACCUUCGGCUCUGUCCAUCUGGCUCUGGCAGAACCUAUUCAGAUAAGCAUCGUUAAUAACACUAGUAAUAGACAAAUGUACCUCAUCCGGAAUGGGAACA
rnacentral:lncRNA from 1 species